rnacentral:rRNA from 1 species
AAGUGGUAGGAAGUCUGAAAGGACGACCUUCGGGAGCUUGCACAGGUGCUGCAUGGCUGUCGUCAGCUCGUGUCGUGAGAUGUUCGGUUAAGUCCGCUAACGAGCGCAACCCUCACUGUGUGUUAUAUGUGUCACACGGGACUGCCGGUUUUAAGCCGGAGGAAGGUGGGGAUGACGUCAAGUCAGCAUGGCCUUUAUAUCCUGGGCUACACACACGCUACAAUGGUCGGUACAAUAGGUUGCCAAGCCGCGAGGCGGAGCCAAUCCACAAAGCCGGCCUCAGUUCAGAUUGUAGGCUGCAACUCGCCUGCAUGAAGAUGGAGUUGCUAGUAACCGCAGGUCAGCAAUACUGCGGUGAAUACGUUCCCGGGUCUU